GCAUGUUUAAACAAUGGGAUAUUAUUCAGCAUGAAAGAGAAAUGAGCUAUCAAGUCAUUAGAAGACAUAGAGGGAACUUAAAUGCAUAUUACUACGUGAAAGAAGAUAAUCUGAAAGGACUACAUACUGUAUAAUUGCAACUAUAUGACAUCCUUUUUGGAAAAGGCAAAACACCGGAGACAGUAAAGAGGUAAAUGGUUGCCAAGGGUUGGGAUGGAGUGGAAGCAGAGACUGGAUGGAUAAGCUCAGCUCAGACAAGUUUUAGGGCAGUGAAAAUAUUCUGUAUGAUAUUAUAAUGAUGGAUACAUACCAUUAUACCUUUGUCUAAAUGCAUAGAAUGUACAAUACCAAGAGUUAAUUGUUUGGAAAACUACUGACUUUGGGUGAUUAUGAAGUGUCAACUGUUGGCUUAUCAUUUGUACCAAAUGUAUCACUCUGGUGGGUGAAGGGUAUUGUCAAUAAUGGAGGAGGUUAUACAUGUGUAGAAGCAGAGAAUGUAUAGAAAAUCUCUGUACAUUCUUCUCAAUUUUCCUAUGAACCAAAAAUUGCUCUCAAAAUUAUCUUAAGAUAUUACAUCAUAAAAUAAUUCAAAUUGGUUUCCAGUGUAUUCUAGUAUACACAUAGUUAAUCAUAUGACAUCCAUCAAUAUAUUCUUGGCUCAGACAAGGAUGCUUAGGUUUUGAUUUUUUUCCUCUUGAGGUAUGAUAUAAUUCCCUUCGGUCUCUCUUCAAAGGGACACUUAUGGUAGAUACUUCCUGAGUUGGCUGACAUAAAUUUAUCUUCACUUAGGAAGCAGUUUUUUUCUUCUUCUUAGGAUUUUCAAUGUAAGGGUUUUGCUCUGCUAAAAAUUUCCUUUGACAAAUGAGGAAAAUAAAAAAUAAUCUAAGGCUAUGUGCAACAGGAGCUUACUAUCAGAGUUAUUUUUCCCUAGUUCUCAGUAACCAGCAUAAGAAAAAGUGAAGAUAAUAGUCUCUUGAAGAAAUUGUGAAAACAUUAUUUCCUUUCUGUGGUAUGGUAGUCAAUUUUCUCUUAAUGUUUUCUCGCCUUGGAAAGUGAUGCUCUUGCCUAUUUCCCAAAUUUAAUUUUCAUGACAAUUGUCAGUUAUUGGUGACCCAUAAUAAAAAUCUUUUCAAGUAUCUCAUCAAAGUUCUGAUAAUUCCUACAAUAGUCCUGGCUUACAUUUUUCGAUGUUACAGUUCAAUAUUUCUUGAACUUAAGCAGGAAAAUGUUAAGCAUUAAAACGCUUCUUAGGCUUUUUAUUCCAUUGUGUGCAGAUAUGCGAAGAUGAUCAGUAUACACAUCAUAUCUAGCAUACAUGAAUUAUCAGGAGAGGCUUUAGAAGAUGCUACUUUGGUUUAAUGGAAAACAAGCAGAAAUAAAGCAUUAAGGGAGAUUUAUUAAUGCCUCAGAAUGCUCGGUACUAGACAAGAUCUCACCAGAAAUCUUCAGACUAGGAAAAAUAUUAGACUAGACUAUGUGGUGAGAAUUUUCUUUGCAUACUAAGCUUAUAUAAUUUUAUUCAUUUACACAUAUAUAUGUAACAGAAUUGUCAAUAAAGUGUAUGAAGAGAAAAAAUUUAAGAGCACUAGAAGGACUCUGAAAUCCCUUCAUCAAACACACAGUUUUGUACUUGUUGGCAUUUUAGCUUUUUAUGAUGAAGUGGGUACCUGCGAUGAGCAAAUGUCACAGAGCAAGUUAGUGCAGAGACAAGAAUUGAAAUCAGGUCCUUCAAUAUUCAGUCCAGGUGCUUUUUUACUGUACUAUCCUAUCUUUACUUUGUAUAUUGUUAUAUAUAAUAUCAUUUGCCCUUUUUUCUGAAUCUGCUUAAAUGUCCUUCUGACAACAUAUUUUCAAACAGAAUUAGUUCAAUGCAUUUUGGUUGUUCUUUUCACUUUGAAACAUAAUCCUACAUUGCUGGCUUAUAUUUUCUUUUUUUUUUUUGGAAUGUGGAGUCUUAUUAUAUAGUAGAUAAUCUCCAAAGAAUGUAUCUUUGAUGGCACAACAGUAAAUUCCAUCAUGCUGGAAAUGAUGAUUCUUGUGGUUUGAAUUACACACAUGAAAACUCUUCGUCACAGCCAUGCCUUAAAUUAAAAACAGUGCUCCCAAUAAGACACAACUUAAAAACAUAAUAAAAAUAUUUAAGUAGCUAAAUUCAUGCUGGAGAGAUGCCUGCUUGUGCCACUAGAUUACCUUUCUAGAUUCACUCAUUUUGUGGUUUCAGACAUAGGAAAACAUACAUAUAAAUUAAUCAUCAGAUGAAUGAAAUAGAGCUUGAAAAUUUGUUUGAGUUUCCAGGCUUAACAAGACCAAUAUUACUUAGGAGUUAAUAAGAUAUGCAGACAUGAUGGAUGCUUUUACUUGUUUAGCAAGAACAUGAUGAUGCUCUUUGACCAAAUAUGGAUGUGUUCAUAUAGCUUAUGGUGACAUUCUGAAGUCAUCAAUCAUUUUGGACCAAAAGGCUAAAGAAAAUGCCAAAUGACCUUUUCCAAAAAUCUGUAAGAUGCCUAGACUGUUAUAAAUACUUUUAUGAACCAAAAUGCAUUCUAAAGUGAAAAAAAAAAUGCCAAAUUGCCUCAGUAAUUUGAGGGAUAGGUAAAUAAAACCAGAGUUUAUAUAUUCUAUACAAAUUAUUUAAGGAGCUGUUAGACACACACACACACACACACACACACACACACACACACACGCACACACACACAAUUCUUUAAAAGGGUGCAGUAUAUAGAGUUCCUGUUGUGGCUCGGUGGAAACGAAACCGACUAGUAUACAUGAAGAUGAGGGUUUGAUCCCUGGCCCCGCUCAGUGGUGUGGGGACCUGGCAUUGCCGUGAGCUGUGAUAUAGUUUGCAGAUGCGGCUCGGCUCUGACAUUGCUGUGCGGUCUGAACCGCAUCUGCAUCUGCAACCUACACCACAGUUCACAGCAACGCCAGUUCCUAACCCACUGAGCAAGGCCAGGGAUUGAACCUGCGUCUCAUGGAUACUAGUCAAAUUUGUUUCCAUUGAGCCACGACAGUAACUCUCAGAAUACACACAUCUUGGUAAACAGCAUAAAAUACACAGUUUUAAAAAAUCCAUCCAUCACAGAAGUGUGAAGUGAUAGUAAAUGAAAAGUAUAAAUCCACAAGAAAAUAAAAGGUAGGAGAGGAGUCCCUGUUGUGGUUCAACAGGUUAAGAACCAGACCUAGUGUUCAUAAGGAUGUGGGUUGGAUCCCUGGCCUCCCUCAGUGGUUUAAGUAACUGGACUGGCAUUGCCAUAAGCUGGGUUAUAUGCUGCAUAUGCAGCUGGGAUCCAGUGUUGCUAUGGCUGUGGCUUAGGCCAGCAGCUGCAGCUCCUAUUUGACCACUGGCCCAGAACUUGCAUAUGCCACAGGUGCAACCAUAAAAAGGAAAAAAAAAAUAGUAAGUGAGAAGAUGCCAGACACAGAAGAAAUCAACAUUUUUUUUUUUUAAUUUGAAAAGCUGAUAUUUGAGCAGCAACUUCGUUAUUAGAGUUAAAGGUAAAAGUAAGUAAAUGCAGGAGACAAACUAUUUGUCAGAAAGUUUUGGAAAUUGACAGUUGGUACUUCCAAAGCUGAGGAUGCUCAGUAAUGCUAAACACAGGAAAAGAGGUACUAGAGACAUUUAAACUGCCAGGUCUCACACACCAACCAGAAGAUUUCCUUCUCCAAUUCUCACACACCAACCAGAAUAGUUUCCUUCUCCAAUUCUCCUCUACGAAACAGAUGGGAGAUUUAGUCUCUGUAUGUGUGGAUGCAAUAGGCUUUGAGCUCAGGGACAUUAAGCUGACUGAAGAUGGGUAUUUAGUCUACUGAAUACAAAGAGGCUUAAAUAAAAUCUGUAUUCUGAAUGAUGAUUGCCCCUCAGCUGAACCCCCCAGAUUCAGCAGAACACUGACAACGUUCAGGCAUAUAAACCUGGUAGAAGUUGACUAAUGAUUUAAGAGAAAAGAUCCUUCACAGAUGAUAUGAUAAAGCCAGGUAUUCACCUCACCUCCAUUUCAACAAACCCCAAGGCAGAGACGAUGCAAAGAAUGGAGGAAAAAGCUUCAAAAUGUUUAAUUAUAUCAAUGAAGAGAUAAAAUAUCUUAUUUCCAAAAUGAGGAAAGCAUGCUAUUACAAAAAGUAAUAUCCAGAGAAUAAAAAGCAAAAUAUGGAAAUAAAAAUUAUGACAGUAGAAAUUUUAAAAUUCAACAUAAUGACUAAAGCACAAAUUCACAAUGACUGUAGCAAUAUUUCUCAAAUUUUAAUGUGCAUACAAAUCUCUUAGAGAAUUUGAAAAAAUGCACAUUAUAAUUUAGUAUUUCUGGGGUUGGACCUGAGAUUAUGCAUUUCAAACACAUUUUCAGAUGAGCAUUUCAAACACAUUUUCAGAUGAGGUUGAUGUUGCCAGCUUCAAACACUCUUUGAGACACAAGGCUUUCUAGUAUAUAAAUUAAACAAAGAGAUGGGAAAUCAGAAAGAAAAUAAAAAAUUAAGAGUAUUAGUUUUAGGGAUUUAGAUCUGUCCAAGAGCAGACCCGGAAAGAGAGAGAAGAAAUUAGAGGGGGGAAAAUUUUUUAAAGAUGGAAUAAAAGAAAAUUUUCCAGAAGACAAGUUUCUAAACUGAAAAGGCUACUAAGUGUUUAGCACAGUAAGUGAAAAAUGACCUACAUCAAGUCACAUAACAAGAAAAUUUCAGAAUUUCAAGUAAAGCUAAAACGAUUAUAAAAAAUUCAAGAAUACAAUUACUCACAGUUCACCCUCCAAUACACAUACACUCACGCACAUGCACAGACACAAACACAACCUCAUAGCAAAUUUUCAAAAAUGAAAUAGCCAGGAGUUCCUGGCAUGGCACGGUCAAAAAGAAUCUGACUAGGAACAAUGAGGUUUCGGGUUCGAUCCCUGGACUUACUCAGUGAGUUAAGGAUCUGGCAUCACCUUGAGCUCUGGUGUAGGUUGCAGAUGUGUCUUGGAUCUGGUGCUGCUGUGGCUGUGACUUAGGCCGGCAGCAACAGCUUCGAUUAGACCCCUAGCCUGGGAACCUCUAUAUGCGUCAGGUGAGGCCCUAAAA
rnacentral:lncRNA from 1 species